rnacentral:rRNA from 1 species
UACAGAGGUGCCAAGCGUUAGGCGGAAUCACUGGGCUUAAAGCGCGUGUAGGGGGACGGGUAAGUAUCUUGUGAAAUCCCACAGCUCAACUGUGGAACUGCUGGAUAUACUGCUUGUCUUGAGGCAUUCAGGGGCAACCGGAACAAAUGGUGGAGCGGUGAAAUGCGUAGAUAUCAUUUGGAACGCCUAUGGUGAAAACAGGUUGCUGGGGAUGUUCUGACACUGAGACGCGAAAGCCAGGGGAGCAAACGGG